GACGAACGCUGGCGGCGUGCUUAACACAUGCCAGUCGAACGGAAAGGCCCUGCUUUUGUGGGGUGCUCGAGUGGCGAACGGGUGAGUAACACGUGAGUAACCUGCCCUUGACUUUGGGAUAACUUCAGGAAACUGGGGCUAAUACCGGAUAGGAGCUCCUGCUGCAUGGUGGGGGUUGGAAAGUUUCGGCGGUUGGGGAUGGACUCGCGGCUUAUCAGCUUGUUGGUGGGGUAGUGGCUUACCAAGGCUUUGACGGGUAGCCGGCCUGAGAGGGUGACCGGACACAUUGGGACUGAGAUAGGGCCCAGACUCCUACGGGAGGCAGCAGUGGGGAAUAUUGCACAAUGGGCGGAAGCCUGAUGCAGCAACGCCGCGUGCGGGAUGACGGCCUUCGGGUUGUAAACCGCUUUCGCCUGUGACGAAGCGUGAGUGACGGUAAUGGGUAAAGAAGCACCGGCUAACUACGUG
rnacentral:rRNA from 1 species